rnacentral:lncRNA from 1 species
GCCGCCUCCCCAAACUGUGAGGCCACCUGGGCUGAUGCCACCUCUGCCUUCCGAGCAGGCUGCGGGGUCGCCGGGGCGGUGUGAGGGCCCGAGGGUGGCCGUCCUGGCCAGAGGUGAGGGUCCCGUGUGCACCCCCCCAGGCCCCGGGGAGGCUGUGUCCGCGGGGCCAGCCAGGGGGCAGCCGGGCAGUCAGGCAAGAGGCACUGUCCCCGGCCCGUCCUGCCAUCACACGGGGUAAACCCCGAGGCCCUGGUGUCUCUUCAGCUGCAGAGACACGAACUGGCAGAAGCACAGGCCCAGCUGGAGGUGGCCCUGAGCCCCCUGGACGUCCUCAGAGGCGGGGAAGUACGCGUGGGCCACGCAGCAGGCGUAGCUGGAGGAGAACCGCAGCAUGGCCUCCCGGAACAGCGCCUCGCCCUCCGCGCACUCCAGAAAGACCUGCCUGCACUCCUCCAGGAGCACGUACACGAAGUGCAGCUUGUUCAUGGUGUCACAGCCCACCAGCACGGAGUGGGGCGCCAGCAGGAGGUUGGCCUCGCCCGCUCUGAGGACCAGCUCCCGCAUCUUCCUCCUGGAGAACCUCCGGAACCAGCAGAAGGUGUUCACCGCCAGGACCAAGACGAGGGAGCAGAAAAACACCCCGCCCAAGAGGAGCAGGAAGCGCUGAGCCGGCGGGCUCGGCUGGAGCCCCAGGAUCAGGGUGAAGGACAGCAGCACCAAGGAGAUGAGAAUCAGGAAGAUGCCCAGCGGGACCCUGCAGCCCAGGUAGCGGAGGCAGGACCUGGGGGACUGUGCCCCGUUCAGGACGCCCAGGGCGCGCCGGUACACCUCGGGCUCCUCCAGCACCUCCUUCAGGGGGUCCGGGACACUCAGGGUGCUGAAGGUCCCCACCUGCCAAGACGACAGGCUGUCCUUGUUGAUGCAGUUGAGGGUGAGGAGGGCCUUCCCACUGUAGAGGGAGGCGGCCGGGCGCAGGGCCGGCACGGAGCGCGCCCCGCACAGGGUGGCCUGGCACAGGAGCCGCAGCACCUUGGGGUAGAAGCGGCUGUCGGUCGCCUCCAGGUAGGUCAGGUGGCUGAGGUGCAGCGGGACCCGGCAGGGCUUCAGCAGGAUGGGGAUGACGGCCUUCCUCUCC